rnacentral:lncRNA from 1 species
UAUAUACUACUUUAUCUAUGAUUUUAUUGGCUAAUUAUAACAUAAACAGAAAGAAAUAUAAGAAAGAGAUAGCAGGUCGUAAUACCAGUCCCUCAAUCUGAACAACCCUGAGUGGCGGCGCAGCAGACUCCUCUGUAGCUGCUACUUGCAAAAACGACCGCCCUGUUGCUGCAUUAAAUCAAAUUGUAAGGGGUUAAUUGCUAAACUACACAUAUUGCACACAAAAAAUGUACUCGUUUAGAAGUGGAAGCAAAAUUAUACGUACGAUUUGCCAUUGACGAAAUCGGUGAGAGAAAUUAGGUAGAGAAUUUGACUGAAUGCAAAAUCUUACUCUGCGGAAAAAAGUUAGAAAACCAAAGCCCUAAUUGUUGGUGGAGGGGUUUGUUCUUUAUUUAUUGAGAUGAGAUGAGACGGGAGAGGAAUUGUCACUAAUGCCCCGGCCCAUUACUGUCUACACAAGGAUUAGGCC